rnacentral:lncRNA from 1 species
GACUCCAUGGCCGUCAUGGAGCCAUAGAGGAUCAUUCCGACUACCCUUCAUUUCUUUCGCUAUUAGAGAAUUAGAAAGAUUCAUAAUGAAGACGCUACUUUGGAUAUGAGCUUUUCGAUUGACAAUGAUAUGAAGGUCAAAAGACUAGUUGUCCCACAUCGUCAAAUGAAUAAGUUAGAAUAUUAAUGGGCCAAGGACCACCAAGAAACAUACUUACCUGGACGGGGUCAAUGGGCGAUCAUGAAGGCCCAUGGCCUAGGUUGGUGACCUCCAUUGCACUUUCGUGGGCUGCCUGCCUAAGGUCGAUCCAAGUGGUCGAGCCUACGUCAUAAUUUGUGGCAGUGGGGGCCUGCGUUUGCGCUGCCCCUACCCAAUUCAAAGUCUAAAUCUCUUAUUCGAUCCAUGGAUUGUGAACUUGAUGUUUCUCUAGUUAACCUAAAUGUUUUUCUUGAAAGAAAGAUAAGCUCUUGGUACAUUUGUAAUUCAGAAUCUGGUUUACUUGAUAUGAUUAUGGAAUCAUUGAACAUGUAGCCUCCAAAAAUAGGUGUAUGCCACUAUUUGCACCGCGCACACAGUAUUCUUUAAUAAAAGGCGAAAGAGUAGUUCACUCGAUCUGUGGUCACUGCGUGGGCGUGGCUGCAUGGAAGUUGUAACUGAUUUUCAAGGAGGCUUUGUAUAUAGUUUCAAGGGCCAAGGACAUCUAUGAGACAUACUUACCUUGACGGGGUCAAUGGCCCAUGGCCUAGGUUAGCGACCUCAUUGCACUUUGGAGGGUUGCCUGCCUAAGUUCGAUCCAAGUGGUCGAGCCUACGUCAUAAUUUGUGGCAGCGGGGGCCUGCGUUUGCACGGCCCCUACCUAACACAAAGUCCAAUUGUUUUCUAAUAUCUCAUUUAUAGGUGUAUGAAUUGCUCUAACACCCACAUUCUUAUGAAUUUUUCAAAUAGAAACUUUUAACUAUGAGAGAUUUAAGGGAAUGUGGUCUUUUUAUUCUCAACAUGGUCAUAUGUAUCCACAUUUAUUACAUAAUUCAACAGACUGUUCAUCUAAUAAUGUUUGAAUUUAGACUGUUAGAUUGAACAUGUGCAAUGAUUUACUUGAUAGACUGAGGUAGCGGUCCUUGUUAGAUUGAACAUAUGUAAUGAUUUUGAUAGACUGAGGUGGCGGUCGUUGUAACAGUUAGUGUACACUCAGAACCAUACGCCUUUUUCAGCGCGUCCAAUCAAAACAUUGCUUCCAACUUUGACCAUGUAUAUACAACAAUAACAUACUCCCACUAAUCUCACAAGGUGUGCAAAGGGUAGUGUGUAUGUAGCCUUACCCCUAUUUUGAGGAGGUAGAGAGGCUGUUUUCAAUAGACCAUCAGCUCAAGUGAAGUAUAUCGAAUCAGAUAUGGUCAUCAUCAGAACAUGUUGACAUAUUAACUAUCACAUUGAAGGGAGGUUAAAAAUUAAUGUGAUACUAAUUGAGGCAUUUAACGCGCUACUAUCUCCAUUUACACAUUUUGCAGACUGAUUCCGUUAAGCAAUUAAUGCAUGAUCAUCCAUAUAAAAAUUCACUGCAGAGAUAUCAUUGUAUCCUCUGUAGUUUGGCUGUUAGACUUCGCCCCUAGUUUUGAUUGUUGGAAUGUCGGGAAAGGAAGAUGCCUCAGCUGGCGGAGCUGAUGGCUCUCAGGAGCCAUGCCAACUUGCAAAUAGUGGGAGAAUGUACUGNNNNNNNNNNNNNNNNNNNNNNNNNNNNNNNNNNNNNNNNNNNNNNNNNNNNNNNNNNNNNNNNNNNNNNNNNNNNNNNNNNNNNNNNNNNNNNNNNNNNNNNNNNNNNNNNNNNNNNNNNNNNNNNNNNNNNNNNNNNNNNNNNNNNNNNNNNNNNNNNNNNNNNNNNNNNNNNNNNNNNNNNNNNNNNNNNNNNNNNNNNNNNNNNNNNNNNNNNNNNNNNNNNNNNNNNNNNNNNNNNNNNNNNNNGAUAAGGAUAUACUAAAGCAAAAUGGGAUUACUCAUGUUCUUAACUGUGUGGGGUUUGUUUGCCCCGAGUAUUUCCAGUCUGAUUUUGUAUACCAGACUUUAUGGUUACAUGGUAGCCCGUCAGAAGAUAUUACGAGCAUUCUUUAUGAUGUUUUUGGCUACUUUGAAGAUGUCAGGGAGAAACAUGGAAGGGGUUUUGUGCAUUGCUAACAAGGGGUCUCUUGGUCAUCCUCGUUGGUUAUCGGUUAUCUUUUGUGGAGAGAAGGACAAAGUUUUGAUGUUGCAUUUGAGUACGUAAAGGCAGCAAGGUGCAUCGCGGAUCCAGAUAUUGGUUUUGCUUGUCAGUUGUUACAAUGCCAAAAAAGGGUUCAUGCUUUCCCUUUGAGUCCCAGUUCAUUAUUAAGGAUGUAUAGAGUUGCGACUCAUUCACCAUACGAUCCUUUGCAUCUCAUUCCGAAAAUGGUAAAUGAUCCUUCUCCGUCAGCAUUAGAUUCCAGAGGUGCAUUUAUUAUAUAUAUACCCUCAUCAAUAUAUGUUUGGAUUGGUAAAAAGAGUGAAGCAAUCAUGGAAAGAGAUGCCAGAGGGGCUGUUUGCCAGAUUGUUCGUUAUGAGAAAGUGCAGGCACCAAUCAUAACAGUUAUGGAAGGUGAGUGUAACACCCCGCAUUUCGGACGAGAACGAAAAUCAUCAUUUCCUUCACGUAAAGGUUCCAAAAGCCAUAAAUCCAAUGCAAGUUUGGUGUUUUAAUAAGUUAUGUAGUGUGGAAACCUAUUUGAGCAUGAAUUGAGAUCAUAGAGGUCCCCAUGCUCAAGGACAAGUUGAAAGUUUUCCUAUCAUUCGAAUUUUAGUGAGCGUUGAAACUUAGGUCAACUUCAAUCGACCAUUACUCUUUUUAUAUAUUGAAUUAGAGUGCCUACUAUAUAUCAAAUGAAAAGUAUUCGAAUUAUCUUUUCAACGAUACCAAUUUCGCAAAAAUCUGACACCCGAGGAAGAAGUUAUGGCUUUGCAAAGUGGAGUGUGUCGUGCAGCAUAAGGUGUGCGAUGCACACCCUAACUUAUGCCAUAUGGUGUGCGACGCACAACCUAAUGUGUGCGAUAAAGAGUGCGCUGCACAACCUAUAUUAUGCCAUAAGGUGUGUGCCGCAUACAUUAUUACUCAAGUGACUUAAACACUUCAUUUUUGGACCAAAAUGGUCAAUUUCCCACCCUUAUUUAGCCAUAAACACGAAAUUCAGUNNNNNNNNNNNNNNNNNNNNNNNNNNNNNNNNNNNNNNNNNNNNNNNNNNNNNNNNNNNNNNNNNNNNNNNNNNNNNNNNNNNNNNNNNNNNNNNNNNNNNNNNNNNNNNNNNNNNNNNNNNNNNNNNNNNNNNNNNNNNNNNNNNNNNNNNNNNNNNNNNNNNNNNNNNNNNNNNNNNNNNNNNNNNNNNNNNNNNNNNNNGUUAACUUGAGAGCAUGAAUUAUAUGAAAAUUCCUCUCUUGAUAUGAUUUUGUAUUAAUCCUCAUAUGAUGUGAAUUGUUUGAAAUCAUCUUGACAAGCAUGACAUGAAAUAUUUUGAAAAUGGUUAUGAUUUUUGACUUGAAAUGAGAGGGUUGUUAUGUUAAAAUAUGAUGAAUAUAAUGGUUGCAUGAAAGAAUGAUAUGAUAUUGAUGGCUUGCAAGUCGGGUAUGACGAUACCUACAUAAUAUGAUAUGUGAUGGAAUUAAAUGAAGUUGAAUGCAUUGAUUUUUCAUGAGAUAGGUGGAUGCCCGAAGAAGGCGUUUGAGUGUAAGGGCUCAUCACUGGGAACCGUGUUUGCCGACAUGGAAAUUUGGUACCAGGCUAAGUGUUCCUGUGUACUUGACUUUAUGUCAUUCCCAAAUUGGGACUAUGGUUAGGAGCCCAGGCUAAGUGAUCUUGGGCACUACUAUACUUUAUUGGGUUGAGAUACCCUGCUGUAUGAUCUUGUAUGUCUUCCCCUUACUUAUAGUCUAAUCUCGGUGGCAACCGAGGUUUGACAGUUAGUGUAAAUGUUAUAUGUAGGGUAUUCCACCUAGCUCAGCUACAUUACAUUUUUGUUGAAAACAAUUACAUUUUGCCCAUGUGUUUUCAAGUGAUUUGAUAUGAAACUGCUUUAUAAUGGCUCUCACCUAUAUUUUGUAAAAAUAUUAUGUUUUUGUUUUGAUUUCUCUGCAAACCAGUACUUUUGUAUUGAUGCCUUUCCCUCCCAGGUUUGGAGGCACAGUCUAGGGGUCCAGAAAAUUAGUAGAUUUCUCAGACAGAUUUGCAGAGUCCCUUGGUGAGCCUUCUAUAUUCCAGAAGGCCUAAUAUCUGGUAGUUUCAUUGAUCAUUUAUUAGUUUUGGGUCUACUGGGGGCCUUGUCCCAGUUUUCAGAUAGUUACUUGUUUCAGUUAUGUAGUAGAGAUUUUGCAGACGAUUUUUGAGAUGUUGAUUGAGAUAGUUACUUUCCAUGGCCUUAUCAAGACUCUCAGGUUCUCCUCUGUCAGUCAAGAGUACAUACUCACUGGGAGAAUAACGAGAUAAAGGUAUUCUUUCUCUUGUAGAUCGUCUAAGAGAACUCUCUGGAGCAUAAAAAAUUGGUUGCUGAUCAACCAUAUUAACUUGCACUGGAGCAUCAACAACUUCUUGCUGGUCAUUCUGAACAUGAUCAUCAUCUUCAUUAUCAACUUGUUGAAGAUUUUCUUCAGGAGCAGUAGUCAAAGGAACUGGAUCAACAUCAACUAGGCUCUCACUACUCUAACAAUCAACCUUCUCAGCUUUGUCAAAAUCUUCAAUUGUUUGGUCUUCAAAGAACACAACAUCGCGGCUUCUAACAAGUUUCUUCUCAACUAAAUCAUAGAAGCGAUAGCCAAGUUCAUCUUGACCAUAACCAAUGAAGAUACACUGUCUAGUUUUAACAUCUAACUUCUCACUCAUAUGACUCAACCUUCUAUGCCACAACUCUGAUGAAGUAUCAUUCUCCACCAAGUUUAUCAAGCCUCUAGAAGUAGAUCCCUGAAAUAUGUACAAGUUAGACAACUUGUCACCUCGAGCCACAAUCAUCGAACCUCGAGUAAGCUUCCACUGACCAGCACCAAGGGUAUUAACAUAACUCUCAUUAUCAGUACUUCCUACAGAAAUCAAAUUCAAGCGAACAUCUAGAGCAUGCUUGACAUUAUUGAGAACUAGUUUGGAACUAUUGUUACUUUUCAAACAAAUCAUGCCAAUGCCAAGUACUUUAACUUCAUCAUUAUUGUCUAUUUUCAACAUCCCAAAAUUAUCUGGACUAUAAGAAGAAAAUAAUUCCUUCUUUGGCAUAACAUGAGAAGUAACACCAAAAUCCACAAACCAGCUAAACUCAUCACGAACAAGAUUAAUGGCAUUGUCACGACAAACAAUAAGAAGAUCAUCAUUAGCAACAACAGCAACAUGAUUUUCAUUAUCGCCUUCUUUCUUUUGCCGUCUUAUAUUUCUCUUAUGCUUGUAAUAAUAUUUCAUGAUAUGCCCCUUUUUGUUGCGAUAGUCACAUGUAACAUUCUUGAAUUUGGACCUUGACUUGCUUCUACUUUUAUCUCUAUCAUUUGAAUCUCUAGACUUAUUUCUCCCCCUCUCUUCAGUAACCAAAACAUCAGAGUGUGAAGAUGAAGAAGAUGAGGCCUGAGAUCUUUUUUUUAUCUCUUCAUUCAAGAUACCACUCUUAACAUAUUCCAUAGUUACAAUACCACUGGAAGCAAAAUUAGUCAAAGAAACUCGAAGAGUUUCCCAAGAGUCAGGCAGAGUAUUAAGAAGCCAAUGUCCCUGAAUUUCUUCAUCAAACUUUACACCCAUUUCGGACAGCUGGUCAAGGACACCCUGAAAAUCAUUUAUAUGAUUAGAAAUAGGAUCUCCUUCUUUAUACCUGAUAUUCAUCAAUUGCUUAAGUAGGAACAACUUGUUAUUGUUAGUUUUCGAAGCAUAAAGUGUCUCGAUCUUAUCCCACAAACUUAUAGCAUGUGUCUCAUUCACAAUAUGAUUUCUAACAUUAUCUUCAACCCAUUAUCUGAUAUAGCCACAAACCUGUAAGUGCUCAAAUUCCCAAUCCUCAUCUAUCAUGGAUUCAGGUUUAGUAAAUACAAACAUAGGUAGAUGCAUUUUCUUGACAAGUAGAAUAUUUUUCAUCUUGCCUUUCCAAGUAUGAUAGUUACUACCAUUCAAACACACCUAUCACGAUCUGAGUUGGGGCCCUAGCCGUGACGAGCAUCCCGAACCAUGAAGGCCCGGAACACCCUUCUCUAUCUAUCUGGUAAUCAUGCAUAUAAUUCAUAUGAUAAAAGGUAAUGAGGAAAGAUAAAUCUAAUACAGAAACAUGGUCAAUCUGAAUGUGAUCACAAUUCUGAAAACUGAAAUCGAAAAUAUAUCUGAAUAAUAAUGUCUGACUCAGUCUACGAAAUCUCUAUCAUGAACUAAUCAAAGUUGUCUGAAAGUUGGGCCAAGGCCCCCAGUAGACCAAAACCUAACUAAUAAUAGUAAUAUGAAAUAACCAGGCCUUCUGAAUCAUAGAAGGCUCACUACUGCAAACUCCGAUCUGUGAUCUGAAAUCUCUACUAUUUAUCUUGACCCCUAGACUGUGCCUCAGAACCUGGAAGGAGAAGGGGGGGUCAGCACAAUUGUACUGGCAUGUGAAGCAAUCCAAAAUAGAGUAACUGAACAUAUAUAUAAUAUGGAGAGCAAUUUUCAUCAAAACGUCAUGCAUAAAACAGUUUCUGAAAAACACAUGGGCACUUUCUGUAAACAUGUAACCUGUCUGUAAAUUUCAAAUUCUGAUCUGUGUAUUACUUUUGAGUUAGGUGGUAUCCCGUACAAGUCAGAUAUUCUACAGGCGAUAUGGAAUCCUCCAUUAACUCGGCGGGGAAACCUCCAACUCGAGUGUGUCGCAAGGGUUGGAGUUCCUGAAUAUGAUACGCCACACAACACUUAAAUCUGCGUAUAAUAAUUUACUCGAGUUGGCAAACCACGAUUUUAGGCAAAAAUUUGUCUAAACUCACGCCUUCUUCGGGAACCACCUAAUCUCUCUUUAUGCCUUAUUUUAGCCUUUUCUGAACAUGCAUCAUUCUGAAGUUCUAAAACAUGCAAAUAUGAUAAAGUCUGAUUUCUGUAUUCGUCUGUGUCUGUUAUGGAAUUUUCUGAGUUUGGUAUCGUCAUACCAAGAUUUGCAAGUCAUGAUUUUUGAGCCAUAAUACAUUAAGAUAAAUCUUUCAAUUCAAGCAAAGCUUAGACCACCCAAAAACAUACAACUCAUAUACAAGAUUUCGUGUUCCGAAACUCAAGUCAAAAUCAUGCAAAAACUUCAUCAACAUAUGGUGGUCUAGUACCUUUAGCAAAUCUAUGCACUCUUUUAUUACAUGCAUUAUGAACAUUAAACAUUCAUGCUAGAUUCCCACUUUAGUGAUUUAAAAUCACCUUUAAAUCAUAACAAGAGUUCAAUCAUUUCAUAUAGUGCUUUUCAAGGAUGCAUUGCAAAACAAUUCAUAUGCUAUGAGAAAUCUGAAAAAUUCAGAAUAAGAGGGAAUUCACCAAAAAUCAUGCUCUCAACAAGAAUUCAUUCUUAAAUACAUUGUUUCAUACAUUCAUAUUCUCAAAUCACUUUAGGGAAGGUCAAAAGACCAAAACAAUGAUGUUAAAACAUUUAAUACAUAAAUAUAUAUAUAGAUUGAAUAACCCCAUUCUAAAACAUGAUUUUUCUAUGCCCAUGAGAAUUUAGGAAAACCCCGCGUACCUCUAUUCUGGAAAAUAAUGGGUGCUUCUUGAAGCCUGUGGAUUGGAGAUUCUGAAUCUCUAAUCGAUUUUGAAAACUGACGGUUCAAUCUUGAUUUAUUUGGGUUUUUAGUUUGAAAUCCUUGGGAGUGUUCUUGAGAAUUUUUAGAUGAAUGUGGAUGUAUUUUGGAGAAUUGGGGACUGAAUUUUAUGUUUAUGGAUGAAUAAGGGUGGGAAAAGGACCAUUUUCCCCAAAAACGAAGUGUUUAAGUCACUUGAAACCAUUACAUAGGUGCCGCAUAUGAUAUCGCCUAUGUUUACAUAGGCGCUGCCUAUGCUAUUGCCUAUGUUUACAUAGGCGUCGCCUAUGCUAUUGCCUAUGUUUGCAUAGGCUCCGCCUAUGCUAUCGUCUAUGUUUACAUAGGCGCCGCCUAUGCUAUCGCAUAUGCUUUCCAGUAGCCAUGUACAAUUGGUUAGGCGAGGCAUACUACUUUGAAAGGCCAUAACUUCUUGCUCAGGUGCCGAAUUUUAGCAAAAUUGGAAUCGUUGGAAAGCUAACUCGAAAACCUAUCAUUUUACACAUAGUAGGCUCUCUAAUUCGAUAUAUACAAAGAGUCAUGGUUGAUAGAAGUUGACACAAAUUAUAAUAUCCACUUAAACUUAAUCGAUCAAAGUAGUUUUCAACUCGUCCUUGAGUCAAAGGACCACUAUGGUCUAAAUUAAAGCUUGAAUGGAUUCACAUACUACACAAAUAAUUAACAUACCAUAUUGGCAUAGGAUUUAUGGAUUCAAGAUUAUCAACGCAUCGGAAUCAUGGUCUAUAUUGUAGCCCAAAAUGUGGGGCGUUACAUUAUCCCCCCUUAGGAUCAUUCGUCCCCGAAUGAUGAUGCGGGACACAGACAGACACGAUUUCAAGCAUAAUAAGGACUAGGAAAGAUAAGAUAGGAACAGUACCUUCUGUCUCAUCAUCCAUCGAAGCAAAAAAAUAGAGAUAUCUAAUUCUCAUGUCAUCUUCUGACUCCCAAGUUGCUUCUUCAACUUUUGGAUUCCUCUACAAUACCUUCACUGAGGCUAUCUCUUUGCUCCUCAACUUUCAAACUUGGCGAUCUUCAAUGGGCUCUUCUUCGUAAGAUAAUGAAUCUGUCACUUUGAUAUCCUCUAUUGUCAAUGCCAAAGAAUGAUCUCCAAUGCAUUUCUUCAACAUGGAUACAUGGAAUACCAGAUGAACGGAACCCAAACUUGCAGGCAAUUCUAGCUCAUAAGCAACUGCACCAAUCUUUCUCAGAAUCUGAUAUGACCCUAUAUAGCGAGGGCUCAAUUUACCCCUUUUUCCAAACCGCAUAAUUCCUUUCAUAGGAGAAACCUUGAGAAACACCCAAUCACCAACUUCAAACUCUAAUUCUCUUCUUCAAACAUCGGCAUAGGACUUCUGAUGACUCUGAGCAGUCUUGAGUCAUUCUUUAAUGAUCUUCACUUUCUCCAUCGCCUGAUGAACAAGAUCAGGCACAUACAACUGAGUCUCACCCACUUGAUACCAUCCUAUCGGAGAUCUACAUCUUCUCCCAUACAAAGCCUCAAAAGGAGCCAUCUUGAUGCUGGCAUGGUAACUAUUAUUGUAAGAAAAUUCAAUAAGUGGUAGGUGAUCUAUCCAAAUACAUUUGAAAUCAAUGACACAUGCCCUCAACAUAUCCUCAAGGGUAUGAAUGGUAUGCUCAGCUUGCCCAUCCAUCUGAGGGUGGAAAGUUGUGCUCAAUUCACUUGUGUACCUAAACCCUUCUGAAAAGAUCUCCAGAACUGAGAUGAAAACUGCAUACCUCUAUUGAAUAUAAUGGACAUUGGUGCCCCAUGCAACCGAACGAUCUCCUCAAUGUAAAUCUUAGCAUAACCCUCUCCCAAAUAAUUAUUCCUCAUAGGCAAAAAGUGGGCUGACUUUGUCAACCGAUCAACAAUUGCCUAUAUAGAAUCAUACUGGUUUAGGGAUCUCGGAAGUCCAUAAUGAAGUCCAUGUUUAUCAUCUCCCAUUUCUAUAAAGGCAGGGCUAUCUCUUGGGAAGUACCACCUGGCCUCAUAUGUUCUACCUUCACUUGAUGAAAGUUCAAACACUUGGACACGAAAUCAACUACAUCACGUUUCAUGUUAUUCCACCAAUACAAGGUUUUCAGAUCAUGGUACAUCUUAGUAGAGCCUGGGUGAAUGACAUACCUCGAAGUGUGUGCCUCAUCAAGGAUUCUUUCCCAGAGUCCAUUAAUAUUCGAAAUGCAUAAUCUACCCUAAAAUCUCAGAAUACCAUCACCACCAAUUUCAAACGACUUAACCUUUUGUUGACCCACAUCUUUCUUGAUUUGUAUCAAGAUGGGAUCUUCAAACUGCUUCUCCUUAACUUCAGCACAAAGUGAUGACUUAGCUAACUCAUGAACAAUUACCCCUCCAUCUUUGAAAUCUAAGAGUCGCACUCCCAGAUUUUCAAGGUGGUGAAUAUCCUUGACCAUCUCUUUCUUUUCUUCUUCUACAUGAGAAAGGCUGCCCAUAGACAACCUGCUGAGGGCGUCAGCUACAAUAUUUGCCUUGCCCAGAUGGUAAUGCAGGCUCAUAUCAUAGUCUUUCAGAAGCUCCAUCCAGCGCCUCUGCCAGAGGUUUAAUUCUUUCUGCGAGAAAACAUACUGCAGACACUUGUGGUCAGUGAAGAUAUCAAUGUGAACACCGUAAGAGCAGUGCCACGAAAUCUUAAGUGCAAACACCACAACCGCUAACUCCAAAUCAUGGGUAGGGUAGUUCUGCUCGUGCACCUUCAACUACCUAGAUGCAUAAGCCACUACCUUACCAUGCUGCAUCAACACACUACCAAGUCCUACACGGGACGCAUCACAGUAUACCACAAAGCCAUCUACACCCUCGGGAAGGGUCAAAAAGAGGUUUAAUUCUUUCUGCGAGAAAACAUACUGCAGACACUUGUGGUCAGUGAAGAUAUCAAUGUGAACACCGUAAGAGCAGUGCCACGAAAUCUUAAGUGCAAACACCACAACCGCUAACUCCAAAUCAUGGGUAGGGUAGUUCUGCUCGUGCACCUUCAACUACCUAGAUGCAUAAGCCACUACCUUACCAUGCUGCAUCAACACACUACCAAGUCCUACACGGGACGCAUCACAGUAUACCACAAAGCCAUCUACACCCUCGGGAAGGGUCAAAACAGUAGCAGUGAUCAGUUUGUCUUUCAACUUCUCAAAACUAUUCUCACACAGAUCAGACCACACAAACUUCACCUUUUUCUGAGUCAAUUUAGUAAGUGGAGCAGCUAUGGAAGAAAAACUUUCUACGAACCUUCUGUAAUACCCCGCCAAAUCUAAGAAGCUCUGAAUAUCGGUUGGAGUCGUGGGUCUAGGCCAUUUUCUCACUUCUUCAACUUUUUGGGGAUCCACUCUUAUCCCAUCACUGGACACAAUAUGCCCCAAGAAGGCUACAAUAUCUAACCAGAAUUCACACUUAGAAAAUUUGGCAUACAAUUGAUGAUCCUUAAGGGUCUGAAGAAUAAUUUGGAGGUGAUUGGCGUGAUCCUCUUUACUCUUAGAAUAGAUCAGGAUAUCAUCAAUAAAUACAAUGAUGAACAAGUCAAGAAAAUAAUGGAAACUCUAUUCAUAAGAUCCAUAAAGGUUGUAGGGGCGUUAGUCAACCCGAAGGACAUGACUAGGAAUUCGUAGUGACCAUAUCGGGUUCGAAACGAUGUCUUGGGUAUGUCUGACUCCCUAACUUUCAACUGAUGAUAACCCGAACGAAGGUCUAUUUUUGAAAAACACUUCGCACCCUGAAGCUGGUCAAAAAGGUCAUCAAUCCUAGGAAGAGAAUAUUUAUUUUUAAUCGUGACCUUAUUCAGCCGACGGUAGCCUAUGCACAUACGAAGGGAACCAUCUUUCUUUCGCACAAAAAGUACUGGCGCGCCCCAAGGAGAUACACUGGGGAAUAUAAAACCCUUAUCUAGGAGAUCUGCUAACUGUUCUUUCAAUUCUUUUAGUUCUGCAGGAGCCAUUCUAUAUGGUGGAAUGGAAAUACGAUGAGUGUCUGGCAACACAUCAAUACCAAAUUCAAUCUCCUUAUCAAGUGAUAUUCCUGGGAGAUCAUUUGGAAUGACUUCUGGGAAUUCUUUUACUACGAGAACAGAUUGAAGAGGAAGACUCUCGACAUUUAAGUCCUUAACUCGAAUAAGGUGGUAUAAGCAACCUUUAGAAAUGAGUUUGCGGGCUCUAAGAUAGGAUAUAAAGUGCCCUCUGGGUGCUAAAGAAUGUCCUUCCCACUCUAUCACCGGUUCAUUCGGGAAAGAAAAAGUGACCCUUCGAGUCCUACAAUCUAAUGUGUCAUAGUACGAAUGGAGUCAAUCCAUUCCUAAGAUAGCAUCAAAAGCAACCAUAUCUAACUCUAUGAGAUCUGCUAAUGUAUCCCGGCUACCAAUAGUCACAACACAACCCCUGUACACCCUCCUAGCAAUAAUAGAAUCCCCCACCGGGGUGGAAACAGAAAAGGGUUCAAAAAUCACACUGGGCUCAAACCCGAAACCAACAGCCACAUAAGGGGUCACAUAGGAUAAAGUAGACCCAGGAUCAAGUAACACAUAAACAUCAUGGGAAAAGAUUUGUAACGUACCGAUAACAAUAUCUGGGGAAGCUUCCUCCUCCCGGCGGUUGGUCAAAGCAUAUAAUCGAUUGCGAAUGUUCCUAACAGCUGAUGUGGCGCCCUUCUAAGGCGGGGGUGGUGCCGAAGAAUUCGCCUGAGACUUUGCACCACCAAUAUUCUUUCUACAGAUGGACAUUCCCUCUGAAAGUGACCCGGCUAACCAUAUAAAUAACACACUAUCGAGCCCAACUGACACCUUCCCGGAUGAUUUCUACUGCAAGUCUCACACCAUAGAAAAGUAUGAUGCUGCUGAGCCACACUACCCUAUAACCGAGUAUCCUGAGCUCUGGUUCCAUGGUUAGUCUGAAAACUCAGAGAUUGUUUGUCUGCUGGUGGUCGGGGUACUGGGGCUCUGGUAGUAGACUGCGCAUUAUCCCAAUUCUUUUUUUUCUGCUAUUUAUUUCCCCACUUACUGCCCUGAGGCUGACUAUGACUCUAGUCGGCUGAUCUGGCUCUUUUCGCUUGUCUUUCCACCUCCCUAGCUUCAGAGAUCUUCUUAUUUUUCUCUUCUACUUGUUGCAUAUGAACGGUCAGCCUAGAAAAGUCUAACUCCUUAUUCAACAUUGCCCCCUGGUACUCAAGCACCAGGUUAUCAGAAAGGCCGGCUGCAAAUUUCCUCAUCCGGGCUCUCAUAUUACUAGUCAACUCUGGUGCAAAGCGGGCUAGUUUAUUAAACUUCAAAGUGUACUCCUGGACACUCAGACUGCCCUGCUUUAGAUUCAUAAAAUCUUCCUCUUUGGCCUCCCUCAACUCCAGCUAAUCGAUCAAGCAAAACUUCCACAAAUUCACCCCAAACUGUGGGCUCAUCAGUCUCACCUUUUGUAUCCUCCCAGCCAGCAUACCACUGAUUCGCAACAUCCUUAAGCUGAUAAGUUGCUAGUUCCACCCCUUAAAUCUCAUCCACAUGCAUUACCUUACAGAUCUUUUCCAUCUCAUCCACGAACUCCUAUAGAUCUUCCUCCACCUUGGUGCCAGUGAACUUAGGUGUGUUUAUUUUCAUGAAAUAUCCGACCCUGGUAGCCUCAGACGUAAUAAAUGUAGACCCAACAUCUUCUGAUCAUUGAUCCUGGUUAGGUACCAAUUGUGUCAGCAUAUGAAUAGACCGUCUGAAUUCUGCAUUUGAAAUAUCUCUUUGAGCAGUUGAGGGACGGUUGUCAUUAGUCCGCGGAGCCCAAGGUGGACUGGUCGGGACUGGAGGGACUCCCGGAGUAGGGACAGGUUCUAGAGUGUGAGCUCUAUUAUGGGUAUGCAUCCCAUGGGUGGGACGGACCUCAUCUGCCUGAGCAUUCUGAUCGAAGAUAUGACGUGGAGGCAUAACUAUGUUUCUGAAAUACAAGAGAUCAUUGAUUAGGGAUCAUUUCAGACUGUGAAGCACGAACUAAAUCAUAAAGAAGGGAAACAUUUCCUAAAUACCUAGUAGCCUCUUGCUUAUAAGUAUGGCACGCUACACAGCCAUAACUAAAACUCUACCCGAUGUGAUUUUGCAGACACCCUGGGACCAUGAACCUUGCUUUGAUACGAAGUUUGUCACAACCCGAGCCGGGGCCCUAGCCGUGAUGAGCAUCCCGAACUAUGAAGGCCCGGAACACCCUUCUCUAUCUAUCUAGUAAUCAUGCACAUAAUUCAUAUAAUAAAAGGUAAUGCGGAAAGAGAAAUCUAAUAGGGAAACAUGGUCAAUCUGAAUGUGACCAUAAUACUAAAAACUGAAAUCCAAAAUAUAUCUGAAUAAUAAUGCCUAAUUCAGUCUGCGAAUCUCUACCAUGAACUAAUCAAAGUUAUCUGAAAGCUGGGAUAAGGCCCCCAGUAGACCAAAACCUAACUAAUAGUAGUAAUAUGAAAUAACCAGGCCUUCUGGAUCAUAGAAAGCUCACCACUGCAAACUCCGGUCUGUGAUCUGAAAUCUCUACUAUUUAUCUUGACCCCUAGACUGUGCCUCAAAACCUGGAAAGAGGGGGGUCAGCACAAUUGUAUUGGCACGCGAAACAAUCCAAAAUAGAGUAAUUGAACAUAUAUAUAUAUAUAUAAUAUGUGAAAGCAAUUUUCAUCAAAACGACAUGCAUAAAAUAGUUUCUGAAAAACACAUGGGCACUUUCUAAAAAUAUGUAACCUGUCUGUAAAUUUCAAAUUCUGAUCUGUGUAUUACUUUUGAGUUAGGUGGUAUCCCAUACAAGUCUGAUAUUCUACAGGCGAUAUGGAAUCCUUCAUUAACUCGACGGGAAACCCUCCAACUCGAGUGUGCCACAAGGGUUGGAGUUCCAGAAUUUGAAACGCCACACAACACUUAAAUCUGUGUAUAAUAAUUUACCCGAGUUGGCAAACCACGGUUUUAGGCAAAAAUUUGUCUGAACUCACGCCUUCUUCGGGGAAUCACCUAAGCUGUCUUUAUGCCCUAUUUUAGCCUUUUCUGAACAUGCAUCAUUCUGAAGUUCUAAAACAUGUAAAUAUGAUAAAGUCUGAUUUCUGUAUUCGUCUGUGUCUGUUAUGGAAUUUUUUGAGUUUGGUAUCAUCAUACCAAGACUUGCAAGUCAUGAUUUCCGAUAAAGAGGUUGUCGGAAAGACCCUCGGCUUUAGUAUCAUACAUCAAAGCAGUUCAGCAACAAUGACAGCCAGUAGUAUAAACUAGGCACAAAUUGCUUCUUUUGGACAUUGAGGAUGUUACUUAACUCUUUUUAUAGACUAGCAUAGCCCCACAUCGUCAAGUGAAUAAGACAGAAGAGUACUUGUAGCAGCAUUGAUUGCCAUUAUCUUGUACAAGAUAUGUUUAUGAGUAUUAAGGAAAAUAGAAAUCAAGUCUGGUGUAUGAACCACGACCAUGGGAUAAAAGCCUAAUUAACAGCCUCCACGGCGUUUCAGGGGUCAUGGAGCCAUAGAGGAUCAUUCUCUACUACCCUUCAUUUCUUUCGCUCAUAUCACCGGACUAUAACUAAGCGAACAAGCAUACAACAUUUUUCACUCAAACAGUAGCUCAUAAGGCAUCAAUAUGAGUUUCUAUUCAACAAAACUGCAACAUUCUUGUCUGUCUUCAUUUCUUCUCCGGGAUGUGGUGCUGCAGCUAGAUACUACUGUGCAAUACUAAUAGUCCAACAUUGUCAAGUGAAGAAGAUAGAAUAGUAGUAAGGAGAUACUAUAUAAAUGGGCCAAGUACAUUUAUGAAACAUACUUAUCUGGAUGGGGUCAAUAGGCUGGUGACCGCCAUUGCACAUUCCGGAGGGGUGCCUGCCUAAGGUCAGCCCAAGUGGUCGAGCCUACGUCAUAAUUUGUGACAGUGAGGCCUGUGUUAAAUGCCGCCUCUACCCAAUUCAAAGUAUAAUUUCUUCAUCUCAUUGGUUGCUUAGCACACGGUCUCAAUUGUAUAUGCAAUUGCAAUGUUAAACACAAAUCAUCUCUUUCAAUUAUUCUAACUUGAAAUUUAAUAUAAAUACAAAUCUGAAUUAGUUGUCCAUUUUUUUUAGCAGAAACUGAAUACAUUUUUUUCCCCGCCUCGUAUCCCACAUCGAUAAGCUAGCAACACAACCAAGUGUAUAUAUGUUGUUGCAGCAACAUGAGCAGAAACGACCUUACUUGAACAGGAUCUGUUCUAUAGGCUCAUACCACUGUCUCCUUGAGUUCUAAGGAGACCAGAAACCAAGUUUUGUGGAUGAAUCGUGGCUAUGAGACUAGAGUGUGAUUACCAGCCUCCAUGGCCUUUGGCCGGGUCAUGGUGUUGUAGAUGAUCGUUCUCUACCUGGUCCACUGGGCUUGAGAUGUCUUGUGGCUAUCUGACAGACUUACCAACUCUUUUUGCUGGAGCUCUACUCUCAGAAUCGUUAUCAGCCUGGCCCGCUGGCCGGGGAGACUAGAGCGUGAUUAACAGCCUCCAUUGCCUUCGGGUCAUAGUACUGUAGAUGAUCGUUAUCAGCCUGGUCUGCUGGGCUAGAGAUGAUCUCAUGGUUGUCUGACAGACUUACCAACUCUUUUUCCCAGUACUAUCAUGUUGUUAUCUGAAUAUUAUUGGCUUAUCUUGCAAUGCAUAACGUAUGCAGCUGAUGAAGAGAAAUCUGCUCACCUCUUAUGAAACGAUGCAUAUGUAGAACACCUUUUUGGUUUUAGUAAUUACUGGAAGUUUUAUUUUCUUUCUAUAGUCGAGAUAGUUGCACGUAAUGACCGUUCCCAACCAUACUACUAAAAGCUUGUGGAAAGAAUCUGAUUUACAACAACUUGGAAAUUACUGUGUAUUCCUUCAAGGAGGCUUGUCUGAAAGUACAACAUUGACAUUUGUUUAGAUAUAGGUAACUUUUAGUCCAUAUUUACAAGACAUGGUUAAAGUUUGCAUAGUUACAAAAUAUAAAUAUACCUUAAAUUCAUCUCUUUCUCUCACUCUUUCUCGCCUCUCUCCUCCUUCUCUCUCCCCUCCUCCAUUCCCGUUCCUCUAUUGGUCCCCCUUCUUUCUCAUUCUUUUAUUUUUUAUAAUUUCUAGAAUUGUAUAUUUGUAUAUAAACAAUGCAAAAUGUAGAUGUACACACUCAAUAUAAAUUCUGCAAACUGUAUAUAUACAGAUAUAUUGUUAUUUAAUAUACACUAUAAUAAUAUACAAACAUUCAGAUAUACAAUUGGAAAAAAAAAUGUACAUAUACAAUUAACAACUUAUGCAUAUAUGACUUAUAUAAUUGACAUAUAUGACUUAUAUAAUUGACAUAUAUGACUUAUACAUAUACCACUUAUUCAAUUGACUUGUACAUAUACGACUUAUACAAUUACAUCAUAUAUACAAUUAAUAUACAAUUUAUACAUAUGCACAUAUAUAUACAUAUACAAUUAACAACUUAUAUAUAUGACUUCUAUAAUUGACAUAUAUGACUUAUACAAUUGAGUUACACGUAUACUACUUAUACAAUUACAUCAUAUACACAAUUAGUAUACAACUUAUACAUAUACGCAUAUUUAAUUGACACAUAAUAUAUAAUUGAUAACAAUUUAGUUGAAUUGAGAAAAUAAUGAUUGAACUAAGUUAUCUCAAUCUAAAUUUAUGAUAGAAAGGAUUGCAAAAUAUAAAAAAAAAUAAAAAAUUAAAUCUAAUAUCAAAAAUACUGAAAGAUUACCUCAAAUCUUCAAUAAAUAUUCUAAACAAAUUUUAUGUGGUGACAAAUCCGCAAAAAAAAGGUUCUCCAAAGUAAAAUCAAGAAUGAUAUCUUGUGAUAUUAAAGUGAUUUUGAGAGAAAAAUAAGGAGAAAAAAGUUGAAGAAGGUCUCUUGAAGAACACUAUUAUGAUGUUGCCAAUGUUGUUGUUUCUUCAAUGUAAAAACAAGGAUAUUAGAGUGAUUUUGAGAGAAAAGUAAGAAAAAAAAAGUUCAAGAAGAUAUCUUCAAUAAUCGUGCAUUUUGAUGUUCCCAUUGUUGCCUUUUUUUAGCCAAUAGAACAAAAAAAAAAAAGAUUUUAAACUACCAAAUAACUAUGAAUUGUAAUUUUUUAAAACAUUAGCCAUACCAUGUAAUUAAUAUAGUAUUUUGUCUAUAAUAUAUAAUUUUUUCCUUUUAUAUUAAUAUUGGGCUUUGUUUUAAUUUGUUACUAAUAAACAAAUAUUAUAAUUAAAGACCCAAGAAUAUAUAUCUAUUUUUUGAAUAUAAAAAAAUAAUAAAAAUAAUUAGAAAGUAGAUUAUAAGUAAUAUUGUUUUACGAAUAAAAAAUUAAAAUCAUAUAUAUAUUAUGUCGGUUCGGUUUGGGUUCGGUUUGAUUUUAUUUUUGCUAAUACCAAACCAAACCAAGAAUGAUCGGAUUUUUUUUUGCCAACACCAAAUCAAUCAAACCAAACCAUAAGUCGGUUUUUUUCCUCGGUUUGGUUUGAUUCAUCGGUUCGGUUUGACUUAACGGUUCGGUCUGUACACCCUAUAUGAACCUAUGUCCGCCCGUACAUGAUGAGAUGCGGCCGCAUGUCACGUGGGUAUCUCCGGUCGCAGAUGGCCAAGUGCCCCCGCAAGUCCCAUUUUCGUUACUCAAAUAGUGAACUGAAGGAUUAUUUCCUAAUUAGCACUUAAGUUUCAAGUGAAUUUUGUCAAAAAAUAGUCUCUCGAUCAUUUUCCGAAGCCGAGCCAUGGCUCAUUCAUCCAUUGCGAGUACCAAUACUGUUCUAACUACAGAAUGAACGUGCGGGAAGAAGAAUGAGGAUCAGGAGGUCGACCUCUUGAUCAUCAUACUUCUCCGCACAUGUUCAAUCUGCAAUUACAGUAACAUUGUUGGUACUCUCAAUGGAUGAAUGUGUUGAUUCUAUUGGCCUGGCGGCCACUUCGGAGGGGUGCUGGCGUAAGUUUUCUUUUUUGAAUUUCUUCAUAAGUGCAAACUGUUUUCUCUCUUGAUUUCUUUUUUAACAAACAACAAAAGGAAACAUAUUCACCAAAUUAGCAGACUAAAAAUACAACAGAAAAACAUGUUAAAUCCUAAUGCAAACUCGGAAAGGUAAUCGUUUUAUUUCUUUAUAUUACCUUGUAGCAACAUUGAUUGGCAUGACCAUACUCGUACAAGGUCCGCACCACUGUAUCAUUGAGUUCUAAGGCGACCAGAAACCAAUUCUGGUGGAUGAACCGUGACUAUGGAAUAAGAGCCUGAUAACAGCCUCCAUGGCCUUCCAGGGGUCAUGGAGCCGUAGAGGAUCAUUCUCGACUACCCUUCAUUUCUUUCGCUCAUAUAACCUGACUAUAACUAUGAGAAUAGGCAAAUAACAUUUUUCACUCAGUCAGCAGCUCAUAAAUGUUGGAGUAAUCAUGGAACAUGUUACACUAUUUUACGGAAGUUUGGAUCUGAGCUUUCCGAUUGACAAUGAUAUGAAGGUCAAAGGACUAAUAGUCCCACAUCGUCAAGUGAAGAAGAUAGAAUAGUAGUAGGGAGAUACUAUAUAAAUGGGCCCAGGACAGCGUAGCAACAUACUUACCUGGACGAGGUCAAUGGGUGAUCAACAAGGUCCAUGGCCUAGGUUGGUGACCUUCAUUGCACUUUGGAGGGGUGCCAGCCUAAGGUCGGCCCAAGUGGCUGAGCCUACGUCAUAAUUUGUGGCAGCGGGGGCCUGCGUUCGCGCGGCCCCUACCCAAUUCAAAGUCUAAAUCUCUUACUCGAUACAUGGAUUGUGAACUUGAUGUUUCUCUAGUUAACCUAAAUGUUUUUUCUUGAAAGAAAGAUAAGCUCUUGGUACAUUUGUAAUUCAGAAUCUGGUUUACUUGAUAUGAUUAUGGAAUCAUUGAACAUACUAGAAGUUGUAUCCUCCAAAAAUAGGUGUAUGCCACUAUUUGCACCGCGCACACAGUAUUCUUUAAUUAAAGGAGAAAGAAUAGUUCAAUCUGUGGUCACUGCGUGGAAGUUGUAUCUAAUUUCAAGGGCUAAGGACAUCUAUGAGACAUACUUACCUUGACGGGGUCAAUGGGCGAUCAUGAAGGCCCAUGGCCUAGGUUGGCCACCUCCAUUGCACUUUGGAGGGGUGCUUGCCUAAGGUCGACCCAAGUGGUCGAGCCUACGUCAUAAUUUGUGGCAGCGGGGGCCUGC